CUAUAAAGCUGGUAAACAGAUUGUUUGGUAGAGUGGUCCACGAGGGACUCUGUAUGGGCAAUGGUCAUUUCUCGCCUCCUGCUUUACCUCUCUCUCUCUCUCUCUCUCUCUCUCUCUCUCUCUCAAACACACACCGAUGGCAUUAAAUGUGUCUUGAUCUAUACAAGAAAGACACAAGGGAUGUCCAAGAGAAUCAAUUAGCUGAGAUCUGAGGACAAAGUGGGCAGGCGGGUGAAGUUUGUGGAAGUUCUGGUCAUGCUGUUCCACAGCUUUCUUGAACUUCUUGAUCUGCUUAAUCUAUAUAUGAGAUUAACACCCUGGAGGAAGCUCAAGAAAGCUGUGGGAUAACAUGGCAUUUCAGGAUUUUGUUGGUGUUUCCUUCACAUGCAUGUUUCUAGCUAGCUGUUGACACAAGAUCUCCCUAUCCCUUGCUCCAUGCGGCAUUAAUUCAAGGCGGCUAUUACCAUCCUUUCAUCUGCAUGAUUGUGGUAAUAAUUAGAAUUCUCAUACACACACACACAUAUAUAUAGUUUCUUCAUGGUAUUUUCCUGUGAUUUUGAAUCUAAUUUACAUGCCUUGUUGUAUUUUCUUCGAGAAAAACAACUAAUUCGGUGCUGAAUUGCGAUGUGAUUUUUAUCUUCCUUCGAUUUCUUAACAGUAAAAUUUUUUUACAGCAAUUUAAAAGGGUUUGUGGGUGUUCUAGGUCAAAAGGAGAAUCCCUUGGAUUGAAGGGAAUUAGGGAAGAAGGAAAACAGGAACUUCAGUUUAUUUAUUUAUUUUGGUUAAAUCCACUGCUACAAGUUUGAGGCAUACAUGAAGGUGAAGGCAGCAUUAAACUUUUCAUAUUAUAUAUAUAUAUAUAUAUAUAUAUGAAGAAAGUUGUCUGUGUAGAUCAAUUAGGUUGGAAUGACUACGGGAUCCCGAAUCAUUUUCUUUCCCGAUCAGAAGUUACGAGGGCCGGGUCAUUCAAUAAUUAAUAAUCUUCUAAGGAAAUUACUUUUUCUCUUUUGAUUCUUUAUAUAUAAGCAUUAUAUGUAACUACAAAUCAGCUCCCAGCUGCUUGAUUGUUUAAUUAAUUGCUAAAGAGAAUAUGCCCAAACAUCUUUUUUU